CCCGUCUGCAGAUACCAGUACUAUCCCCACAGGCCCCAUCAAGCUCCUGUUCAAGUGACGGUCCUGGUGAUUCUGCUCCGGCAUCGAAGCAGCAGUCACAGCGGGUUGAAGAGCCUUCACAGAUCCAGGCGAAUGAUGGAGCAACCCGUGCCCAGCUGCGGAUCAUCCACCUGCUAGUGGAACUCCGCCACCAGAACCGUGAGAUGCAGCACGAGACUAUGCAGCUGAGGCUGGAUGUCCAGCAGCUGUCGGACCAAAUAGCAGCUCUAGAGGUGCCAACGGGGCAAGCUGCACCGAUCCCGAC